AUUGAACGCUGGCGGCAUGCCUUACACAUGCAAGUCGAACGGCAGCAUGGAGAGCUUGCUCUCUGAUGGCGAGUGGCGAACGGGUGAGUAAUGCAUCGGAAUCUACUUUUUCGUGGGGGAUAACGUAGGGAAACUUACGCUAAUACCGCAUACGACCUACGGGUGAAAGCAGGGGAUCUUCGGACCUUGCGCGAUUGAAUGAGCCGAUGUCGGAUUAGCUAGUUGGCGGGGUAAAGGCCCACCAAGGCGACGAUCCGUAGCUGGUCUGAGAGGAUGAUCAGCCACACUGGAACGGAGACACGGUCCAGACUCCUACGGGAGGCAGCAGUGGGGAAUAUUGGACAAUGGGCGCAAGCCUGAUCCAGCCAUACCGCGUGGGUGAAGAAGGCCUUCGGGUUGUAAAGCCCUUUUGUUGGGAAAGAAAUCCAGCCGGCUAAUACCUGGUUGGGAUGACGGUACCCAAAGAAUAAGCACCGGCUAACUUCGCGCCAGCCGCCGCGGUAA
rnacentral:rRNA from 1 species